rnacentral:rRNA from 1 species
AACGAACGCUGGCGGCAUGCCUAACACAUGCAAGUCGAACGAGACCUUCGGGUCUAGUGGCGCACGGGUGCGUAACGCGUGGGAAUCUGCCCUUGGGUUCGGAAUAACAGUUGGAAACGACUGCUAAUACCGGAUGAUGACGUAAGUCCAAAGAUUUAUCGCCCAAGGAUGAGCCCGCGUAGGAUUAGCUAGUUGGUGAGGUAAAGGCUCACCAAGGCGACGAUCCUUAGCUGGUCUGAGAGGAUGAUCAGCCACACUGGGACUGAGACACGGCCCAGACUCGUACGGGAGGCAGGAGUGGGGAAUAUUGGACAAUGGGCGAAAGCCUGAUCCAGCAAUGCCGGGUGAGUGAUGAAGGCCUUAGGGUUGUAAAGCUCUUUUACCCGGGAUGAUAAUGACAGUACCGGGAGAAUAAGCUCCGGCUAACUCCGUG